AAUUCAAAAACUAAGGUAGACAGAGUUAUGGUUCUUAGUCACUGCACUUUUCCUACUUGCCAUCUGUUUAUAUUUCAAGUUUCAAGUAAAUCCCUUCAGUAGAUAUAGAGUUAUGCUCCGGACAAAAAUUUACUUUAAAAUUAUAUAAAAGGGGAGAUAAUUCAAAAACUAAGGUAGAUAGAGUUGUGGUUCUUGGUCACUGCACUUCUCCUAGUUGCCAUCUGUUUAUAUUUCAAGUUUCAAGUAAAUCCCUUUAGUAUAUUUAGAGUUAUGCUCCGGACAAAAAUUUACUUUAAAGUUAUAUAAAAGGGGCGAUAAUUCAAAAACUAAGGUAGAUAGAGUUAUGGUUCUUGGUCACUGCACUUCUCCUAGUUGCCAUCUGUUUAUAUUCUAAGUUUUAAGUAAAUCCAUUGAAUAGAUUUGGAGUUAUGCUCCGGACAAAGUUUCAGCCGGACGGACAGGACCAAUUACUAUAUCCCCUC